ACGAGUGGCGAACGGGUGAGUAAUGCAUCGGAACGUAUCCAUUUGUGGGGGAUAGCCCGGCGAAAGCCGGAUUAAUACCGCAUAAUCUCUGAGGAGGAAAGUGGGGGACCUUCGGGCCUUACGCUGAUGGAGCGGCUGAUGUCGGAUUAGCUAGUUGGUAGGGUAAAGGCCUACCAAGGCGACGAUCCGUAGCUGGUCUGAGAGGACGACCAGCCACACUGGAACUGAGACACGGUCCAGACUCCUACGGGAGGCAGCAGUGGGGAAUUUUGGACAAUGGGGGCAACCCUGAUCCAGCCAUGCCGCGUGCGGGACGAAGGCCUUCGGGUUGUAAACCGCUUUCAGACGGAAAGAGACAGCACAAGAUAAUACCUUGUGCGAAUGACGGUACCGUCAGAAGAAGCACCGGCUAACUACGUGCCAGCAGCCGCGGUAAUACGUAGGGUGCGAGCGUUAAUCGGAAUUACUGGGCGUAAAGAGUGCGCAGGCGGCUCUUUAAGACAGGUGUGAAAUCCCCGGGCUUAACCUGGGAAUGGCGCUUGUGACUGGAGAGCUAGAGUGUGGCAGAGGGGAAUGGAAUUCCUGGUGUAGCAGUGAAAUGCGUAGAUAUCAGGAGGAACGCCAAUGGCGAAGGCAGUUCCCUGGGCCAACACUGACGCUCAUGCACGAAAGCGUGGGGAGCAACAGGAUUAGAUC
rnacentral:rRNA from 1 species